rnacentral:rRNA from 1 species
CUGGCCUUGACAUGUCCGGAAUCCAGCAGAGAUGCAGGAGUGCCUUCGGGAAUCGGAACACAGGUGCUGCAUGGCUGUCGUCAGCUCGUGUCGUGAGAUGUUGGGUUAAGUCCCGCAACGAGCGCAACCCUUGUCCUUAGUUGCCAGCGAGUAAUGUCGGGAACUUUAAGGAGACUGCCGGUGACAAACCGGAGGAAGGUGGGGAUGAAGUCAAGUCAUCAUGGCCCUUACGGCCAGGGCUACACACGUACUACAAUGGUCGGUACAGAGGGUUGCGAU